AUCCUUCUCUUUUACUGCAAAAUCCACGGCCUCUCUCUCACUCUCUCUCUCUCUCUCUCUCUCUCUCUCUCUCUCUCUCUCUCUCUUUGCGCUCACUCUCAUCUUCUAGUUUCAGAGCUGAAAAUGGCGGUGUUCCCAUCCAUGGAGGAUUUCUUGAAACAGUGUGAGCAGUCUGGAGAUACUGCGUACGCUGCGUUUCGUUCUCUGUUGGAGCGGUUGGAGGAUCCCAAGACUCGACCGCAGGCUCGAAUCUUCCUUUCUGAUCUCCAUAAGCAUGUCGGUGACUCCGAUCAGUGCCUUCAGAAUUACCAUUUCCGGAUCCAAGAUAUCUUUUUAGAACAAUACGAAGGUUAUCAGGGAAGAAAGAAAUUGACAAUGAUGGUGAUCCCUAGCAUUUUUAUCCCUGAAGACUGGUCAUUCACUUUUUAUGAGGGACUGAAUAGACAUCCUGAUUCAAUCUUCAAGGACAGGACAGUUGCUGAGCUUGGCUGUGGAAAUGGAUGGAUAUCCAUUGCAAUUGCGGAGAAGUGGUUGCCUUCAAAGGUCUAUGGCCUUGAUAUUAACCCUAGAGCAGUAAAGGUAUCCUGGAUAAACUUAUAUUUAAAUGCUUUGGAUGAAAAAGGUCAACUCAUAUAUGAUUCAGAGAAGAAAACUUUACUGGACAGGGUGGAGUUUUAUGAAUCUGAUCUACUUGCUUACUGUAGAGAUCAUGACAUUCAACUUGAACGAAUUGUUGGAUGCAUACCACAGAUUCUUAACCCAAAUCCAGAUGCAAUGUCUAAAAUAAUUACAGAAAAUGCAAGUGAAGAAUUUCUGUAUUCACUGAGUAACUACUGUGCACUUCAGGGAUUUGUUGAGGAUCAGUUUGGCCUAGGUCUAAUUGCUAGAGCUGUUGAGGAAGGAAUAUCUGUAAUCAAGCCUAUGGGGAUUAUGAUUUUUAAUAUGGGUGGUCGUCCAGGGCAAGCUGUUUGUAAACGCUUGUUUGAACGCCGUGGUUUUCACAUUAACAAGCUUUGGCAGACUAAAGUUAUCCAGGCUGCUGACACAGAUAUCUCAGCCUUAGUUGAAAUUGAGAAGAACAGUCCGCACAGGUUUGAGUUUUUCAUGGGGCUUUCUGGAGAUCAGCCUAUUUGUGCUCGAACAGCAUGGGCCUAUGGGAAGGCUGGUGGUCAAAUUGCUCAUGCUUUAUCAGUUUAUAGUUGUCAACUUCGUCAACCAAACCAGGUUAAGAAAAUUUUUGAGUUUCUUAAGAAUGGCUUCCAUGACGUCAGCAGUUCUUUAGAUUUGUCUUUUAAGGAUGAUUCUGUUGCCGAUGAGAAGAUCCCCUUCCUGGCUUAUCUUGCUGGUGAAUUGAAAGGGAGCUCAAGUUUCCCUUACGAGUCACCAGCUGGCAGCAAACAUUUCCGUAAUCUAAUUGCAGGCUUUAUGAAAAUAUAUCACCAUAUUCCACUCAAUUCCAAUAAUGUUGUCAUCUUUCCUUCAAGGGCUGUUGCAAUUGAAAAUUCUCUUCGAUUAUUCUCACCUCAUCUUGCAAUUGUUGAUGAACAUCUUACUCGACACCUACCUCGGCAAUGGUUAACAUCUUUAGCAAUUGAGGGUACAGAAAAUUAUGACCCAUCAAAGGAUGCAAUUACUGUCAUUGAAGCACCAAAACAGUCUGAUCUAAUGGUAGAGCUGAUAAAGAAACUCAAACCACAGGUGGUGAUUACUGGGAUGGCUCAAUUUGAGGCCGUGACUAGUUCAGCUUUUGUUCAGCUCUUAGAUAUUACUAGAGAAAUUGGAUCUCGUCUUUUCUUAGACAUAUCUGAUCAGCUUGAGCUAUCCAGCCUUCCAAGUCCCAAUGGAGUCCUAAAAUAUCUUGCAGGAACUCGUCUACCUUCGCAUGCUGCAAUCCUUUGUGGCCUAGUAAAGAACCAGGUUUAUUCAGAUUUAGAAGUAGCUUUUGUCAUUUCAGAAGAAGAGGCCAUUUUUAAGGCCUUGUCCAAGACUGUGGAAGUACUGGAAGGAAAUACUGCACCGAUCAGGCAGUUUUAUUAUGGUUGUCUGUUCCAUGAGCUUUUGGCUUUUAAGCUUACGGACCGACGUCCGCCUGCAGAGAGAGAAUGUGAAAAAGCCAAGUCAGUUGAGGCGAUUGGGUUUGCUAGUUCUGCUAUCUCAGUCCUCAAUGAUUCUGAGUUGUCAAUUAGUGAGGAAGAAAAGUCUUCCUUGAUUCACAUGGAUGUAGAUCAAAGUUUCUUGCCCAUUCCUUCUCCUGUCAGGGCUGCAAUCUUUGAAAGUUUUGCAAGACAGAACAUGGCUGAAUCGGAAAUUGAUGUCACUCCUAGCAUCAAGCAAUUCAUUGAGAGCAAUUAUGGAUUUCCAACUGACAACAGCACAGAGUUUGUAUAUACAGACUUCUCACAAGCCCUGUUUAAUAGACUGAUCCUCUGCUGCAUCCAAGAAGGUGGAACAUUCUGCUUCCCAGCUGGCUCAAAUGGGAACUAUGUAUCUGCUGCCAAAUUUCUGAAGGCAAACAUUAUAAGUAUCCCUACUGACUCUGCAUCAGGUUUCAAGUUGACAGAAAAGCUACUUGAUGGAGCACUUGAUACUGUGAGUAAGCCAUGGGUGUAUAUUUCUGGUCCUACAAUCAACCCUUCGGGGUUGCUUUACAGCAACAAAGAGAUGGAGAACAUAUUAACUGCUUGUGCAAAAUUUGGGGCACGAGUUGUCAUUGAUACUUCAUUCUCAGGGUUGGAAUUUGAUUUGGGAGGAUGGGGUGGCUGGGAUUUGGGGGCAACAUUAUCAAAGUUGACUUCCUCUGGCAACUCAUCUUUUAGUGUAUCUUUGCUUGGAGGACUGUCUCUUCAGAUCCUAAGUGGAGUACUCAAAUUUGGGUUUCUGGUUUUAAACCAUCCUUACCUGGUCAAUGCAUUUUAUAGCUUUCCAGGAUUAAGCAAACCUCAUAGCACUGUCAAAUAUGCUAUCAAGAAGUUGCUAGGUUUGAAUGAGCAGAAAGCAAAAGACCUGACAGAUGCUGUUGCAGAUCAAACUAGAAAACUGAAAUCCAGAUCCCAGCGCAUGAAAGAGACACUAGAGAAAUGUGGAUGGGAGGUGCUCCAGCCUUAUGGUGGUGUGUCCAUGAUGGCAAAGCCUUCUGCCUACCUGAACAAGGCUGUUAAGAUCAAGCGUACAGCUGAUGAUGAUGUGCAAAAUGCCACUACUUACGAAGUUAAGCUUGAUGACUCGAAUAUCAGGGAAGCCAUUGUCAAGUCCACAGGUUUAUGUAUCAACAGCGGCUUAUGGACGGGAAUUCCUGGCUAUAGCCGCUUCACUUUUGCUCUGGAAGAAAGCGACUUUGAGCGGGCACUGGAUUGCAUAAUUAAAUUCAAGGAUAUCGUCAGUAAAUAAAACGACUUAUUAUAAUCAUGAGUUUAUCUGAUUCAGUGUUUUCAUGACUUGGAUGUCGUGAAAUAAAGCAAAUCUGCAAUUCAACUCACAGAACUCACAGCAAUUUAUACAAGCCAGCAUCAGCUGAGGGUAUACUUUCCUAACAUUGAUGGUUAUUUAUCAUUGUUCCAGAAAAAAAAAGGGUAUUGCAUUUGCGUUAUUUUUGAAAUUACAUGAAUAUGGCUUUGUGAUUGUAUCAUGCACAAGUUUGAUCUAAUAGAGAUGGAUCGUUAAUUUAUAUAUAAUUUAGAAAGAUGUUUACUGUGAAAAUUAGGCUCUUAUGUAUAAUUUUUACUUCGAUAUCAAUUUUACUCUAAGUUGUGCAUAUAUAUCAUCUGUCACAACCACAAUUAUGUGAAACUCUUUUUUCAUAUUUUUUUAUGUUCAAAUUUUUAUGAGUAAGGGAUCAUUGGCUAAAUUGUAUAUGCACUAUAUUUGAAAAAAAAAAUGUUCUGGAACGUUCUUGAAAACGUAUCCAUUGUGUUUUGUGUUAUUUCCACGUCACGCGAGAAGCAACCGAUCCUUUCUCUAGAUCACUCUUGUAGAUUUAUCUCUCUUUUCAUUUCAAUACCCACUAGAUAAAUCCAGAAGCACAUACAUACUUACCAAAUUUAUAUAAAUCCAAUCUCCCAUCUCUCCCCAUUUCUCAAAAGAAACACACAACAGACACGCUGAGUAUCUCUUUGCAAACCAAUCACCAAAACCUUCCUGUCUUGCCUUUCCAAGAAACCUUGAAUUGUGCUCACAAUAAAAGAAUGGCCAACCCAAGAUUCAAGAACAUGUCUUUGCUCAUUGCAACCUCAAUGCUUCUAUGCUUGAUGGCCACCCAAGCCAAUGCCCUAAUACCAUACACAAGGUCCCUAUGGGACAUUAUGAUGCUCCCAACAGAGGACCCCUUCAGGAUUCUCGAACAAGCCCCACUUACAAUCCCAAAAGGGGAUGAAGGUUUUGCACUUGCUAAGGCAGAUAGGAAAGAAACACCAACAUCGCAUGUUAUCUUCUUGGACAUUCCAGGGAUCAAGAAGGAUGAUAUCAAAAUUGAAGUGGAAGAGAAUAGUGUGUUGAGGAUAAGCGGAGAGAGGAAAGGAGAAGAAGAGGUUGAGGGAGAGAAAUGGCACAGGGCUGAAAGGACUAAUGAAAAGUUCUAGAGGCAGUUUAGAUUGCCUAACAACGCAGAUUUAGAUCACAUUAAGGCCUAUCUUGAAGAUUGGGUGUUGAAGAUUACUGUGCCUAAGUUUGCUGAAGAGCAGAAGAGACAGCCUAAGGUAAUUAACAUUGUUGAACAAGGUUCUUCUGGUCAGGAUAUCAAAGCUGCAAAAGCUGAGAAUGUGAUGUGAAUUGUGAUCUUACUCUUGUUCUUUUUCUGGUUUGUUAAUUGUCGUGUGUUGUAAGUUAAUUACAGAUUAAUAAUUAAUGCUUACAGAUUAAUAAUUAAUGCUUAUAAUUAGCUAUAGAAUGAAAAAGGAAAAUGAAUGUGCUUUGUACUGAACUGUUUGUAAUGACUUUGAUCUGAGAGCAGUAAGAUUAAAGAGCUGAUCUUUUUUGUUA